rnacentral:rRNA from 1 species
AACGAACGCUGGCGGCGUGGAUUAGGCAUGCAAGUCGAACGCGAAAGGGGAGCAAUCCCUGAGUAGAGUGGCGAACUGGUGAGUAACAGGUGGGCAAUGUGCCCCAAAGUGGGGGAUAACUCCGAGAAAUCGGAGCUAAUACCGCAUAAGGCGUCGAGGACUUUGGUUCAUGACGUUAAAGGAGCAAUUCGCUUUGGGAUCGGCCCG